rnacentral:rRNA from 1 species
AUUGAACGCUGGCGGAAUGCUUUACACAUGCAAGUCGAACGGCAGCACGGGGGCAACCCUGGUGGCGAGUGGCGAACGGGUGAGUAAUACAUCGGAACGUGCCCAGUAGUGGGGGAUAACUACGCGAAAGCGUAGCUAAUACCGCAUACGAUCUACGGAUGAAAGCGGGGGCUCGCAAGACCUCGCGCGAUUGGAGCCGCCGAUGGCAGAUUAGGUAGUUGCUGGGGUAAAGGCCGACCAAGCCGACGAGCUGUAGCUGGCCUGAGAGUACGACCAGCCACACUGGGACUGGGACACGGCCCAGACUCCUACGGGAGGCAGCAGUGGGGAAUUUUGGACAAUGGGCGCAAGCCUGAUCCAGCCAUUCCGCGUGCAGGAUGAAGGCCCUCGGGUUGUAAACUGCUUUUGUACGGAACGAAACGGCGCUCUCUAAUACAGGGCGCUAAUGACGGUACCGUAAGAAUAAGCACCGGCUAACUACGUGCCAGCCGCCGCCGUAAGAC